rnacentral:snRNA from 1 species
GUGCUCACUUGGGCUGCACGGAUGCUAAAACUGGAAGGAUACAGGGAUUAGCAUGGCCCCUGUGCAAGGAUGACUCGCAAAUUCGUGAAGCAUUAAAAAAAAAA